UUCAUACUUAGAACACUCGUGAAACUGCUCAGGCCAUCAAGGGUAUGCAUAUACGAAAAGCCACGAAGUAUCUGAAAGAUGUCACUUUACAGAAACAGUGUGUACCAUUCCGACGUUACAAUGGUGGAGUUGGCAGGUGUGCGCAGGCCAAGCAGUGGGGCUGGACACAAGGUCGGUGGCCCAAAAAGAGUGCUGAAUUUUUGCUGCACAUGCUUAAAAACGCAGAGAGUAAUGCUGAACUUAAGGGUUUAGAUGUAGAUUCUCUGGUCAUUGAGCAUAUCCAAGUGAACAAAGCACCUAAGAUGCGCCGCCGGACUUACAGAGCUCAUGGUCGGAUUAACCCAUACAUGAGCUCUCCCUGCCACAUUGAGAUGAUCCUUACGGAAAAGGAACAGAUUGUUCCUAAACCAGAAGAGGAGGUUGCCCAGAAGAAAAAGAUAUCCCAGAAGAAACUGAAGAAACAAAAACUUAUGGCACGGGAGUAAAUUCAGCAUUAAAAUAAAUGUAAUUAAAAGGAAAAGAA
rnacentral:sRNA from 1 species